ACAAAAAAAAACAAAGUAAACAAAAGACAAAAAGGCCAUUCAUCUCCUUCCUCCUUACACCCCAACCGCCGGCCACCACACUCCAGCCACUCCAUCGCCGCCUGCCGCCCCAUUUUCACCGGAAAACAGAUCCGGCCAGCACCACCAGACACCCCUAGGGUUUCCCUUCAACCCUAGUCAUCAAAUACUCCAUCUCCACCACAAAACCACCACUGCUCCGCCGCUGCUCCACCGUCCAGCCACCAUGCUGCUGCUACUCGACCUCCAGCAGCCACCAUUCAACUCCAUUUAUGUCCAAGAAGCCGAGCUCCACUGCACCACCACCACUCCAAGACGGUCAAGAAGGGGAGAGGGACGUCCAGACAUCAAAACAAGUCGUUACAGAUCUGUCCAUGCUUAGUUAUAGUGCCACGAGUCUCAAAAACGUUUUGUUACUUGUUUUAUCUCUCGCAGUCAAGAACCACCGCGAACAGUCACCACUAGCCACCAUAUUCAGAUCUGAAAAACCUUGAAAACAGGUUAACACAUUCAAGCAAAUCCUCUACUUGCUAGUUGCUGCUACUUGAAAACUAAGGUACUAGAUGAUCGCUUUAUGUGUUGGAUUGCUUGCCAUUACAUGCUACAUGAAGAACCUUGCCCCAUCCAUAAACCCUUAGGAAUGCUUCGUCAAUUUGCUAAAGACAUAAUUUCUAUUUAAGUUAUCUUAAUGAUAAUUCAAGUUUUUGAUAAACGAUGUCCGUAUCAUAUGUUGUAUUUCAAACUUUUAAACAAUAUUAUCUUUCAAUAUAAUAUAA